UACGUAGGGUGCAGGCGUUAAUCGGAAUUACGGGGCGUAAAGCGUGCGCAGGCGGUUUGCUAAGACAGGUGUGAAAUCCCCGGGCUUAACCUGGGAACUGCGCUUGUAACUGGCAAGCUAGAGUGUGGCAGAGGGGGGUGGAAUUCCAGGUGUAGCAGUGAAAUGCGUAGAGAUCUGGAGGAACACCGAUGGCGAAGGCAGCCCCCUGGGCUAACACUGACGCUCAUGCACGAAAGCUAGGGGAGCAAACAGG
rnacentral:rRNA from 1 species